rnacentral:lncRNA from 1 species
UGAAUAAAUAUCCCUUAAAUAACAGAGGAUAUAAUAGGCUAUUCAAAACAACUCCAUAUUAUAACUAGGCCUAUUUUUAUUUCGAAAUUGGGUGACGAGAUUAGGUGUAAAGUGAUUGGGUUAAUGUUGAAUACUCGAUGUGUUCUAUCGCAAUCAGUCACUUUGCUGUUGUCGCAAUGUUGCUGACGGAUGCAAAAAGUUGGUUUGGAGAGUAAACAUCCAGAGAGCCUCUUAGAGAUGGAUGGGAGUCUCUCCUGUCUGAGGCAACACUGAUUGCUAUGCAAAUGAGGGUUGCACCUCAAUUUAGAAAGGAACACAGCUGCCAGAGGAAAAGGAAGAGAUUCCAUGAUGAGACCUCUCAAGAGGAGACAGCUCAGGACAGUGCAGCAACGGUGUUUCAAAACACAGUGUUUUUUACUGAUGGACAACAUCCUAUUGCAGUGGUGUGGACACUAAGUUCUGCAAAAAUUGUAGGAUAAUUUUCUGCUGUUUUGAAAGUUGGGCAGAUUAGUGAGGAUAAAGUCCCUUCUGUGUGCCAACCACUGAUCAUGAAGUAUUCCAGAGACCUUACACCUGAGUUUCAAAAGGAAGUAAGACACCUGAACACUGUAUAUGCUGCCACUUUCCCCCCCUAACUUGUCCCCUCUUGGUCUCCUGAAUGCAAUUUGUAAGAUGCAGCUGCAAAGCAUUUUUGGAGAAUUGUGCAUUGCUUUACGUAUAUUUUACACACUGUCUGUGACUGUUGCUGGUGGCGAGAGAGCUUUCAGUAAGCUAAAACUUAUAAAAAAAUAUAUUUGAUGUCCACUAUGUCCCAUGACAUGCUUUGCAGUCUUGCCAUGCUGUCCAUUGAAAGUCAGUUAGCUAGAAAGCUGGACUUCAAAGACUUGAUCAGUGACUUUGCUAGCAAGAAGGCUCGGCGCUGGGCCCUUGGUGAGUAAGGCUGAGCAAGGGCCAGUGAUAACUGUUAAAUGGCAUGACUAUGGAUAUUGGAUCACUACACACAUGAUGCACACAGGCUGAGAACAAGACUGAGAACAAGAUAUGUCUCAAAGUAAUGGCUGGAUUGCCAUAAAGUUUGUUGUGCACAAUCAAGACCCCAAGUGGAAGAAACCUAUUGAUUUGGUGACCACUUGACAUUUCCUCUAGCGCCACCAUCAGGCCUUUUCAUUUCCAUUUAGUUUUCCAUUUUCCAUUUCCACUUUUCCAGCUGCUUAUUGUCUAGUUGGUAUGUAUACUUAGUUCAAACAUCUGCUGCUGAUUGUAUUAUUUUGUUUGUUAUAUCAUUCUAUAGAUGAUAAUGUUACUUUAUUUUAAUUGAAGAAGUUAAUGUAUAUUUAAGUUAUAUUUAUUUUAAGUUAUUCAUUAAUGUUAAGAGAAUUUUCCAUAAAAAAAUGUUCCCAUUAAAAUGACAUUUAGACUGUAAAGAUGUCCUUUAGCACAUUUCUUAUAGAGGGUAUCAGUCUUGCAUCAAAUAGUGAAUUCCACUGCAUGCAGAAUGUUGCAUGCAUGUCUGCACAGUGUUAUAUUUUCACAGCUCACUGUCAGUAAAUAUCGUACAGUAAAUAUUGGACUACAAGAGAGUUGCAAGCCUGCAAAGGUAG